GACGAACGCUGGCGGCGUGCUUAACACAUGCAAGUCGAACGGAAAGGCCUGCUUGCGGGUACUCGAGUGGCGAACGGGUGAGUAACACGUGGGCAACCUGCCCUCAGCUUCGGGAUAACACUUGGAAACAGGUGCUAAUACCGGAUAAUAACUUUUCAUCGCAUGGUGGAUGGUUCAAAGUUUUUCGGCUGAGGAUGGGCCCGCGGCCUAUCAGCUUGUUGGUGGGGUAAUGGCCUACCAAGGCGACGACGGGUAGCCGGCCUGAGAGGGCGACCGGCCACACUGGGACUGAGACACGGCCCAGACUCCUACGGGAGGCAGCAGUGGGGAAUAUUGCGCAAUGGGCGGAAGCCUGACGCAGCGACGCCGCGUGAGGGAUGACGGCCUUCGGGUUGUAAACCUCUUUCAGCUCUGACGAAGCGCAAGGACGGUAGAGCAGA
rnacentral:rRNA from 1 species